GUUAUUAGUUUAGACAAGAUUCAUUUAAAGCCGAUUCCAUGUUCUGUUGGAUCAGCGAGAGAGAGAGAAAGAGAGAGAGAAGACACAGAUCAGAAACAGAGAAAGAAUAUACCGCAGAACCAUGUAAUAGCAAGCAAAGCUAGGUCUCGAGCAGCUAUACACGGCUUGCGAAACCGUUCGUCGUUGACUGGCGUCGUUACUUGGUCGUGAUCGUGCUCGUAAUCAAGAGUCAAAGUCAAGGUCGAGAUCGAGGCGAGAGAGAACACACUUAUGCAACUCUCUUGUUGCCUACCGUACACCGCGAUCGUCCGCGGUAGCUAAAAGAAAAUGGUGGGGAGAUCAUUGCACAGCAGCACGGUGACCGACCACGCCAGUAAACAGGUAAAAGUUCGCGCACUUGUUACAUCGAUGAUGAAGUAGAAAUGUACAUAGCAUAUUGUACAUACCUGAGGCUCGGACUAAGGCCCACGGGAUUUUCUGGAAGGUUAUAAACGUCAUCGACCCAAUUGUUACUGACAGGGGGCGUUUCCACAGUUUUCCUAGUUUCAAGACUCAUUGCAACGAGUGGAUCUACUCGCAUGAACAAUAGUUCCAGUGACCAACAGAACCCGCUGCUUUUGUCUAAUGUUAGACCACGUCAACUCGACACGAUGCCUAUCCAUGAACAGGAAGAGGAUUAAACGUGCUAAUAAAUUUUACAGGGAUUAAGAAACAGUCGACUUAAAGUUGUUUCGACCAUUUACCAAAUGGAAUUGGUGACCGAUGGCUGGUGGAAUUCUAAGGAACAUAAGGAACCCAACUAGAAGGAAGAAUACCGAAGAACGUGGCAAAAGAAAGAAGAAAGAAGCAGCCUGGCUAGCUGUGUGCGGACUCUGGGUUUCGCCAAGAAGACGUAACGGUAAAUCCGCGGCCGCUGGCGUCCGAUGAACCCACUCUCAGCCUCGCACACUCGUGUAGUCCAGUGAACACGCGUUUCUUUACCUGCUUACGUCUGUGUUUAGUGUUGCGCGUGUAGGUGCGCAAGCCAGAUGCGCGUGUAGGUGCGCAAGCCAGAUGCGCGUGUAGGUGCGCAAGCCAGAUGCGCAAACGAACUGCGGAAUACAUGUGCCAUGUAAGCGACCACGACCAAGCCACCAAACCUGUCAUCGAAUUAUUACUAUGCGAAUAGCAUUUCAGUCGGUUGUGCUUUGUGCUUUUUCUACUGAGGCCCCCACUGAGUGGCUUGCGUCAGGGACAAGGAAACCUGGGACAGCAGGUUGCGUCAUCGACCGAGAAGGAGAAGGAGAUAAAAACUUUAAAAAUAAAAUAAUAAUAAUAAUAAUAAUAAUAAUAAUAAUAAUAAUAAUAAUAAUGAUAAUAAUAAUCUUAAAAAUAGAUAUGCAAGAAUUAUGUCAUUCAAUAAAACAACAAAUAAGAAUAAAGAAGAUGAACAAAGAAAAAACAAUGUUUAGAUCGAAAGAAGAAAAAAUGACCAUGAUAAAGAAAGAGAAGGAAAGGAUGCUUACAAAUAACACGCAUGCACGUAGGAAGAUCGAUUCUCGAGCAAUCGCGCGAGUGCGUGGGGACCAGUGCGCGCCCCCGUUGACUCGUUGACUCACUGACUCUUGACGGACUUACCGUUAACCAGCAAAAGUGAACCAAGUAAGUCGUGUCUCUGGAACUUGCGGUACUGAUUGUACAGUAUGUUACGUGUAGGAUGAUUUAAAGCUCGCUAUUGUCAUCGAUCGAAUAUAUACUGAAAAAAUUUGUCAAAGAAAGUUUGAAUGAACGAUUUUCCCUAACCUCUCUUUAAACUGUGACUUUUACCUAUAAAGAUUGCUAUUAUAAAGGAAUUAUUCGACCAUUUCAUUUUGAAGAAGGAUAAUUAAGUGGGAAAUUAAUCAAGGCAAUCACUGAAAAAAAGGUUCCAUCGAGAUGAGUCUGCAUACUAGAUAAAUCCUAAUGAAGAAAAAAAAUCUUAGUAAGCUUUGAUUUCCGGGUUAUAAAUCGAUUCUUCGAAGGUUCAGGAAACAUGACAGUAACAUAUGUUCGAUGCAGAUGCUCGAUCAACUCCUUUCAGAACACUCCUUCUUAUGCUAUAAAAUAAGAGUUACUGUUCUUUUAUUUAUAAGUUGAAUAAAUUUAGCAGCUUUCAUUAAUUUAACAAAAUUUUAUAAAAACAUUUUAAUUUAUUGUAUAUUAAUUAGAAUGAACAAAUAUAAGUAAAAAUAACCUUAAGUGAUGUAAUCUUAAAUGAUGAAUCAACAUUUUUUUCACAGAUGUGAAAAUAAAAUUUUUUUUAGUAUUCAAUUCUUUUUUUUUAAUAAAAAAAAAUUGGCUUCUAAUAAUAAUAUAGUGAAAUAGUAAUAUUUAUUUGAAUUUAUUAAAUAAUGCAAAUCCUUUUAGAAUUUUCAUCAAUUUUAUAGAUUUCUGUAUAAUAAUUUACUGUAAUAUAAUUUUAUUAUUAAUAAAUAAUGUUUCUUUUUAUGCAAAAAAUAAUUUUGAAUAAAAAAAUUUGGACUUGAUUUGAAAAAGAACAAAAUAAAAAAUUUAAAUUUCAGCCCUUAUAAUAUUUCAAAAAUUAAUUUUAUAAAAAUAUUUUUUACAUUCUUUGAAAAUGGGUAAGUACUUUUCAUGCUGAUUUCAUUUCAUCUUAAAUAAUUAUACACUUUUAAUCUUUCGUUUUUGUUUUAAUUUAUAUAUUUCUGUAGGAAGAAUUGUGAAAAUAAUGUAGAAACUGUAAAAGCGCAGAGACAAUAGAAGUGUCCUUCGCGGUAAACCAUGUCGAUUGUAAUUGCAUGACAGAUCGACGCCAUUGAGAAGAAUCGGCGGACCUUGACAAUGCUGGACUCCUUGACGGUACAAUGUCAGUGAACCGGUCUAUAGAACAACGAACGAGUGCGCCAUAUUAAUGAACAGACAUCAGUAUUUGUAAAAUAAAUCAAGAUUAACCGUUUAUCUCAUUAAACAUUCCAAAAUCGGUCAGUGUGGUUAUUAAUUAUUACUAUGAUAAUUUAAAUGUAACUGGUUACAUUGUUGUAUCCAGAAAAUCUAUUCUGGCAUAUUCUCUUUAUAUAUAUUGAAUAUCAAUUAAACUAUCUAAGCACAGUAUUCAUUAAAGAUGAUUUUCAGGAACUUUUAAUGAUGCUAUUAUUAAUAUUUAAUACUUAUCUUAGUAAUAUGUUGUCAUGAAAUAUUUACUAGUAUAUAAAUUCAAUAAAAGAAGAUAAAACAAGGCUAAGUAAAUGUCAAGUUUCAGUUUUCUUCAUGGUCCAUCGUGUGGGGCUUCCUUAAAAAAUUUUCGUUUAUGGUUCUGGUGUAUAUUAGGGGGCCGCAAAAAUAUCGAUGUGAAGAAACUGGACAGGUAUGCAUACCUGAAAAGACUGAGUAGAAAUUGGAAUGAUCGUGAGAGAAGAUUUAGUUUCAUUAUUUAUUACUCUUUAUUAUUCUUUAAGACAUUGUUUACGAUUGUUGGUCCUGUGAAUUUUAUGCAGGUAUGCUAAUUUUAAGUACAGUGAAUCACAAAUUUUAAAAAAUAAAUUAUAAAAAUAUUAAAUAUAAAAAAAUAUAAAAAAAUUAUAGUUUAAUAUAAAGUUUUAAUGAUAGUUUUAAAG